UACGUAGGUGGCAAGCGUUGUCCGGAUUUACUGGGUGUAAAGGGCGUGCAGCCGGGCUGACAAGUCAGACGUGAAAUCCCGCGGCUCAACCGCGGAACUGCAUUUGAAACUGUCAGUCUUGAGUACCGGAGAGGUCAUCGGAAUUCCUUGUGUAGCGGUGAAAUGCGUAGAUAUAAGGAAGAACACCAGUGGCGAAGGCGGAUGACUGGACGGCAACUGACGGUGAGGCGCGAAAGCGUGGGGAGCAAACAGG
rnacentral:rRNA from 1 species